rnacentral:rRNA from 1 species
UACGUAGGGUGCAAGCGUUGUCCGGAAUUAUUGGGCGUAAAGAGCUCGUAGGCGGUUUGUCGCGUCUGCUGUGAAAACUCAGGGCUCAACCCUGAAACUGCACUCGAUACUGCUCUGCUUGAGGACUGGAGAGGAGACUGGAAUUCACGGUGUAGCAGUGAAAUGCGUAGAUAUCGUGAGGAAGACCAGUGGCGAAGGCGGGUCUCUGGACAGUUCCUGACGCUGAGGCACGAAAGCUGGGGGAGCGAACAGG